GACCGCGGGGCAAAGUUUUAUAAUUUUUAGAGCUUGUUUGGGCAGUUUUUGCAAAAAUGAUCAAUAAUAAGGACUAAAUUGAAAUUUUGCGUAUUGUGAUGGGUGAUUGAUUUGAUGGGCCCAGGAGGGGUUGUGUGAUAUGAUUGAGUUGUGGAUAUAUGGAUUGUGAGUAUAGAAGUGUGUUUUGAACCCUUUUGCAGGUUGGGUAGGUCCUAGGUAUAGGGGAGACUCUGCCGGAUUUUCGGCACGACUUAGGACGUAAUUGGUCUUUUUCUUUGUUUAUAUUGAGUCAGAUUGUAUUAAAUAAUUGUAAUAUAAUUGUCAGGUGAGCCGGGAUAGCCUUCUUCCUCCGCCCAGCCGCCACAGUGAUUGUCGUCAAGUCUGCUACAGGAGGAUUUUAUUUUGGUUAACCUGCUUUUCUCCUUCGCAGGUUGUUUAUCAAUAUUUGUGUAAUUUUAUUUACUCCUAGAAUUUCCGCAUGUGUUAGAAGUAUUUAUUUGAUUAUGGUCUGUAAUAUUAUUAUCA